UACAGAGGUCCCAAGCGUUGUUCGGAUUCAUUGGGCGUAAAGGGUGCGUAGGCGGCGCGGUAAGUCGGGUGUGAAAUCUCGGGGCUUAACUCCGAAACUGCAUUCGAUACUGCCGUGCUUGAGGACUGGAGAGGAGACUGGAAUGGUCGGUGUAGCGGUGAAAUGCGUAGAGAUCGACCAGAACACCGGUGGCGAAGGCGGGUCUCUGGACAGUUCCUGACGCUCAGGCACGAAAGCCAGGGGAGCAAACGGG
rnacentral:rRNA from 1 species